rnacentral:ncRNA from 1 species
ACCAUCCUUAUCUUGGGGUUGCGCUACUGUUCAAUGAACGCUUAGUGAGGACAGUACUGCUAACGCCACCGCAACACAUAAGCAUCCCUGGGGUUUAUGCCCCACUGAGGUGCAAUUUUUGGAACC